UACGGGGGGGGCAAGCGUUGUUCGGAAUUACUGGGCGUAAAGGGCUCGUAGGCGGCCAACUAAGUCGGAUGUGAAAUCCCCAGGCUUAACCCGGAACGGUCAGAUGAUACUGCUUUGCUAGAGUGCGGAAGGGGCAAUCGGAAUUCUUGGUGUAGCGGUGAAAUGCGUAGAUAUCAAGAGGAACACCUGAGGUGAAGACGGGUUGCUGGGCCGACACUGACGCUGACAGCGCGAAAGCCAGGGGAGCAAACGGG
rnacentral:rRNA from 1 species